rnacentral:rRNA from 1 species
UCGGCUCUCGCAUCGAUGAAGAACGUAGCAAAAUGCGAUACCUGGUGUGAAUUGCAGAAUCCCGCGAACCAUCGAGUUUUUGAACGCAAGUUGCGCCCGAGGCCUUCUGGCUGAGGGCACGCCUGCCUGGGCGUCACGCCAAAAGACACUCCCANACCCAUCC